UAGUAUUUAUGCAUUGUUUUAUGAACAUAAAACAAGCGAAACUGAGUAUGUUGAAUGAAAAUUUAGAAUUGAAACAUCCCAUUCCUGAUGAAUAUGAAUUACUAAAGUUUUAGUCUAAAAUGACUAGAUGAUAUAAUGAUAUAUAGCUUGAGAACUGAUAAUAGCAAGUAAAUGAAAGUCAAUUUAUUCAGAGAAUUGAAUGGGAAACUAAAACCAUUUAAGCCUUUUCUAUAAAAAACCAUCAGCUUUAUGAAUCACCAAAUUAAAGAAUAAAUAUACUAAGAUAAAAGUUUCCCCAUUAUAUUACAGAGAAAACCAUGUUCUGAGCUAUGGACUUUUAUACCUGGAUGUCUAAUCUGAGGCCAUCAAAAGAACUCACUCAUAGAUCAGUUUGCCUCAUUUCAUGGUCUGCCUUGGAUUCCCCCACACCCACUGAUCCAAAGUCUGUGGAAUAGGGAGGCACCUUCCAGCAAAGAAGGCAGACAUGAAAGUGUACAUUGUGAUCUCUCUGUUACGAAGUUGAAGAACUGGCCAAACUGAUGUAUGUUAAUAGGAAUCAAAACAGGGGCUGCGUGUGGAGGGGUGGACGAUGUUAUUUGAAAAGUUACAGGACAGAUUUUCUGUGUUAAUGGACAUGAGCCAUACAUUGAGAGGGCUGCUGGCUACUGAAAGAAAUAUAAAAUUUUAAAAUUUCUGAAAUCAUGCAGUUAACAUCUGCACACUUCACUAUAUUUUAAGUUUUUGUUAAUAUAAAAGAAUAAGAAAACAGAAAAGUAUUACUGUUAAACAAUAAUAGAGAAAUGUAUACUUUAUUUACAAAUUUCUCCCUCUAGCUGAUCAUACAGUUGACCAGUUCAGGGUGCCCGCUGCUGGUUGGAUGCCAGGCGGAAUGUCAGGGUGUUCUCUGGUGUCUGUUGUGGCUGUGGGAUCCACGGUUACUGGGCGGAGCCCUGUGGUGGCUGUGGUGCCAUGGAGGGGCUGCGAUCUUCUGUGGAGCUGGACCCUGAGCUGACUCCAGGGAAGCUGGAUGAGGAGAUGGUGGGGCUGCCACCCCAUGACGCGAGUCCUCAAGUCACUUUCCACAGCCUCGAUGGGAAGACAGUGGUGUGUCCACACUUCAUGGGCUUACUGCUGGGUCUCUUACUUUUAUUGACUUUGUCUGUUAGGAACCAACUCUGUGUAAGAGGUGAAAGGCAGCUUGCAGAAACACUGCAUUCACAGGUGAAGGAGAAAUCCCAGCUCAUUGGCAAGAAAACAGAUUGUAGAGACUGAGGCAUCUUUAAAAGAUGUCAGGGUACAGAAAAAGUCUUUCAACACCCCCGGCUUUGUAGAUGCCUACAAGAAGGUGAAUAGCACCAACGAGAUGCUGAUGGAGAAAUUUACCACCCUCGUUCAAGAACUGAAAGAAGAGACAUCCUCCAGACUCUCCAGGCAACAAGAGGAGCUGGUAGAGAUGCUAACAACGCUGGAGGCCCUGGGAGAGGCCAUGAGAGCCACCCCGUCACAAGGAGCUUUUCCACACCUGCCAUGCAGCUGAGAGCCAAGCCCUGCUGCUCUCUCCCCCACGAGGGGGCUGGGUCUUAGAGCAGCACUGUUCUUUUCCCCUCCACCCAGGCCUCCCGAGCUGCCAGGCUCUGUGCUCCCACACUGACUCCAUCUGAGGGGUCCUUGAGGCCAGUGGAUCUGGAGUACCCCGCCCCUGGCCUGGAGUUCCUCCUCCUUCUCACGCUGACACUGCAGCCAGCUCCUCAAUGGGCGGUGCCUCCAAAUCUAAAGAAUAUGGAGGUCCUGGAGCACACCAAGAAAUGAGGGACUUUUUCUUUGCAGAAAGUUUGAAUUCUGUCUUAAUGAGACAGAAUGCCAUACUUGAGCACCUCAUCUUUUGCUCAAAUUGAAAUGUCAUCGAACUGUAUUUCUCAAGUCAAUGGUCUGUAAAUAUGAUUUAUGUAUUAAUCUCCUAAGUGAACAAUUUAUAUUUUAUCCUCUACAUAAUUAUCGUAUUAUGCUUUAAAUAUAUAUUUAGUUUAUCAAUAAAGACAUUCAGUACUCAAUAGCAA
rnacentral:lncRNA from 1 species